GACGAACGCUGGCGGCGUGCUUAACACAUGCAAGUCGAACGAAGAGCGAUGGAAGCUUGCUUCUAUCAAUCUUAGUGGCGAACGGGUGAGUAACGCGUAAUCAACCUGCCCUUCAGAGGGGGACAACAGUUGGAAACGACUGCUAAUACCGCAUACGAUCUAAUCUCGGCAUCGAGGAUAGAUGAAAGGUGGCCUCUACAUGUAAGCUAUCACUGAAGGAGGGGAUUGCGUCUGAUUAGCUAGUUGGAGGGGUAACGGCCCACCAAGGCGAUGAUCAGUAGCCGGUCUGAGAGGAUGAACGGCCACAUUGGGACUGAGACACGGCCCAGACUCCUACGGGAGGCAGCAGUGGGGAAUCUUCCGCAAUGGACGAAAGUCUGAAGGAGCAACGCCGCGUGAGUGAUGACGGCCUUCGGGUUGUAAAGCUCUGUUAAUCGGGACGAAAGGCCUUCUUGCGAAUAGUGAGAAGGAUUGACGGUACCGGAAUAGAAAGCCACGGCUAACUACGUG
rnacentral:rRNA from 1 species